ACCCGCAGUAGGGGCCUUUGGCCCCCAAGGGCACGUGUCGUAGGUGCAGCGACCGCGGCGGACAAGUCGCGGGCACCUCCUUGGAGUUUAAUUCCCACCGAGCGUCGGGUAGAAUCCUUUGCAGAUGACUUAAAUAUGCGACGGGGUAUUGUAAGUGGCAGAGUGGCCUUACUGCCACGAUCCACUGAGAUUCAGCCCUUUGUCGCUUCGAUUCGU
rnacentral:ncRNA from 1 species